AAUAGCUAUAUCGAAACCUUAUCUACCAUGGAAAUCUAAAGAAGUCAAACCUGGGUAGCUCUCCACUGCUGCAUCCUGUUCAUCAUGGAGGUUCCUGCCUUUCCUGUAAAGAAUGUCCUUGACAUUGGGCUUUAAAAAGCAUAAGACCUUGUAUUGCAACUAACAUUUUGGAUAACUUCACUGAUUAAUCAUUGGAACUCAGUUCACCUCAGGAGCUUAUGUCAUGAAAUGAUUAUAAACUUCUAAUGCUUUCCAAAAGGACAAAAAUAUGUUUUUAGGACAACAUGAUUAUAAACAUGCCAUUUUAAUAGUCCAUGGCAGAAAAUAAGAUGGUUUGGAUUUUCUGGUAAUUAAAAUGAAAAUAAAAUUUUUUAGAUGGUUUAUGUCAAUGUAAUUUAAAUACCUGUUAAAAUAUGUUAUAGUUUGUUUUAAUACUA
rnacentral:lncRNA from 1 species